UACCGGCAGCUCGAGUGAUGUCCCAUAUUAUUGGGCCUAAAGCGUCCGUAGCUGGCCAGCCAAGUUCGUCGGGAAAUCCACCCGCUCAACGGGUGGGCGUCCGGCGAAAACUGGCUGGCUUGGAACCGGAAGGCUCAGAGAGUACGUCGAGGGUAGGAGUGAAAUCCCGUAAUCCUCGACGGACUACCGAUGGCGAAAGCACUCUGAGAAGACGGCUUCGACAGUGAGGGACGAAAGCUAGGGUCUCAAA
rnacentral:rRNA from 1 species